rnacentral:rRNA from 1 species
AACGAACGCCGGCGGCAGGCUUAACACAUGCAAGUCGAGCGCCCCGCAAGGGGAGCGGCAGACGGGUGAGUAACGCGUGGGGAUCUGCCUAGUGGUACGGAACAACACGGGGAAACUCGUGCUAAUACCGUAUAAGUCCUUCGGGAGAAAGAUUUAUCGCCAUUAGAUGAACCCGCGUCUGAUUAGCUAGUUGGUGAGGUAACGGCUCACCAAGGCGACGAUCAGUAGCUGGUCUGAGAGGAUGAUCAGCCACACUGGGACUGAGACACGGCCCAGACUCCUACGGGAGGCAGCAGUGGGGAAUAUUGGACAAUGGGGGCAACCCUGAUCCAGCCAUGCCGCGUGAGUGAUGAAGGCCUUAGGGUUGUAAAGCUCUUUCGCUAGGGAAGAUAAUGACGGUACCUAGAUAAGAAGCCCCGGCUAACUUCGUGCCAGCAGCCGCCGUAAGAC